UACGUAGGUGGCAAGCGUUGUCUGGAAUUACUGGGCGUAAAGCGUGCGUAGGCGGUUUGUUAAGUCUGUCGUGAAAGCCCCGGGCUCAACCUGGGAAUGGCGAUGGAUACUGGCGAGCUAGAGUACGGUAGAGGAGAGUGGAAUUCCCGGUGUAGCAGUGAAAUGCGUAGAGAUCGGGAGGAACAUCAGUUGCGAAGGCGGCUCUCUGGACCAGUACUGACGCUGAGGCACGAAAGCGUGGGGAGCAAACAGG
rnacentral:rRNA from 1 species